rnacentral:tRNA from 1 species
CACGGUGCGGGCGGGCACGCCGCUCGCGCAGCUGGAGGCCGCGCUGGCCGAGUGCGGCCAGAUGCUGCCGUUCGAGCCGCCGCACUUCGGCC